GACCAGACUCCUACGGGAGGCAGCAGUGGGGGAUAUUGCACAAUGGGGGAAACCCUGAUGCAGCAACGCCGCGUGAGUGAAGAAGUAUUUCGGUAUGUAAAGCUCUAUCAGCAGGGAAGAGAAUGACGGUACCUGAGUAAGAAGCCCCGGCUAACUACGUGCCAGCAGCCGCGGUAAUACGUAGGGGGCAAGCGUUAUCCGGAUUUACUGGGUGUAAAGGGAGCGUAGACGGCAGUGCAAGUCUGAAGUGAAAGCCCCGGGCUUAACCCGGGAACUGCUUUGGAAACUGUACGGCUGGAGUGCUGGAGAGGUAAGCGGAAUUCCUAGUGUAGCGGUGAAAUGCGUAGAUAUUAGGAGGAACACCAGUGGCGAAGGCGGCUUACUGGACAGUAACUGACGUUGAGGCUCGAAAGCGUGGGGAGCAAACAGGAUUAGAUACCCGGGUAC
rnacentral:rRNA from 1 species